UGACCGGCGCAUGACUAAAUAUCAGCUGGUAAUUCUGGGGUCGUCACGCCCAGGCUAUCAGCUGGUAUACAGUCAAAUGCCGUA
rnacentral:pre_miRNA from 1 species